rnacentral:RNase_P_RNA from 1 species
CAAGUAAAACAGGUAAUCGCAGAUGCAGGCGCCGAAAGGCGGCAGAUGAGGAAAGUCCGGGCUUCACAGGGCAGAGUGCCGGAUAACGUCCGGUGGAGGCGACUCCAAGGCCAGUGCAACAGAAAUGAACCGCUUAAGUCUCUUGGCUUAAGUAAGGGUGGAAGGGCAGUGUAAGAGACUACCGCCCUGCCGGUAACGGCGGGGGCACAUGUAAACCCCACUCGAAGCAAAACCGUACAGAGACAUUGUGGCGGCCCGUCACGUCUCGGGUAGGUUGCUUGAACCCGCUGGUAACAGCGGGUCUAGAUAGAUGAUUAUCCAAUGACAUAACCCGGCUUAUCGUUUUGCUUGUGUG